rnacentral:rRNA from 1 species
UACAGAGGGUGCAAGCGUUGUUCGGAAUUAUUGGGCGUAAAGGGCGCGUAGGCGGUGCGGUAAGUCACCUGUGAAAUCUCCUGGCUUUAACUGGGAGCCUGCAGGCGAAACUACCGUGCUGGAGUGUGGGAGAGGUGCGUGGAAUUUCCCGGUGUAGCGGUGAAAUGCGUAGAUAUCGGGAGGAACACCUGUGGCGAAAGCGGCGCACUGGACCAUAACUGACGCUGAGGUGCGAAAGCUAGGGGAGCAAACAGG